GGUUCAGGAUGAACGCUAGCGACAGGCUUAACACAUGCAAGUCGAGGGGCAUCACGGGAGUAGCAAUACAACUGGUGGCGACCGGCGCACGGGUGAGUAACGCGUAUGCAACCUACCUAUCAGAGGGGAAUAACCCGGCGAAAGUCGGACUAAUACCGCAUAAAACAGGGGCACCGCAUGGUGAUAUUUGUUAAAGAAAUUCGCUGAUAGAUGGGCAUGCGUUCCAUUAGGUAGUUGGUGAGGUAACGGCUCACCAAGCCGACGAUGGAUAGGGGAACUGAGAGGUUGGUCCCCCACACUGGUACUGAGACACGGACCAGACUCCUACGGGAGGCAGCAGUGAGGAAUAUUGGUCAAUGGGCGGGAGCCUGAACCAGCCAAGUCGCGUGAAAGGAAGAAGGAUCUAUGGUUCGUAAACUUCCUUUGCAGGGGAAUAAAGUGCAGGACGUGUCCUGUUUUGUAUGUACCCUGCGAAUAAGGAUCGGCUAACUCCGUGCCAGCAGCCGC
rnacentral:rRNA from 1 species